GGGGGAAUUCCCGAGAGGCCAAAGGGAGCAGACUGUAAAUCUGUUGUGUCAUCACUUCGGUGGUUCGAAUCCACCUUCCCCCA
rnacentral:tRNA from 1 species